rnacentral:rRNA from 1 species
GUGGAGCAAAUCUCAAAAAGCCGUCCCAGUUCGGAUCGCAGGCUGCAACCCGCCUGCGUGAAGUUGGAAUCGCUAGUAAUCGCGGAUCAGCAUGCCGCGGUGAAUACGUUCCCGGGCCUUGUACACACCGCCCGUCACACCAUGAGAGUCGGGAACACCCGAAGUCCGUAGCCUAACCGCAAGGGGGGCGCGGCCGAAGGUGGGUUCGAUAAUUGGGGUGAAGUCGUAACAAGGUACC